GCCAGGAGUGUGAAACGUAGACAGCCA
rnacentral:piRNA from 2 species